rnacentral:rRNA from 1 species
GAUGAACGCUGGCGGCGUGCCUAAUACAUGCAAGUCGAGCAAACGGACGAGAAGCUUGCUUCUCUGAUGUUAGCGGCGGACGGGUGAGUAACACGUGGAUAACCUACCUAUAAGACUGGGAUAACUUCGGGAAACCGGAGCUAAUACCGGAUAAUAUUUUGAACCGCAUGGUUCAAAAGUGAAAGACGGUCUUGCUGUCACUUAUAGAUGGAUCCGCGCUGCAUUAGCUAGUUGGUAAGGUAACGGCUUACCAAGGCAACGAUGCAUAGCCGACCUGAGAGGGUGAUCGGCCACACUGGAACUGAGACACGGUCCAGACUCCUACGGGAGGCAGCAGUAGGGAAUCUUCCGCAAUGGGCGAAAGCCUGACGGAGCAACGCCGCGUGAGUGGUGAAGGUCUUCGGAUCGUAAAACUCUGUUAUUAGGGAAGAACAUAUGUGUAAGUAAAUGUGCACAUCUUGACGGUACCUAAUCAGAAAGCAACGGCUAACUACGUG